CAGGGUAACAAGAUUAGGAAGGGCUGCAGCAAAACUCACAAUUUAAUUAUUUGAGAAUAUGACCUUCAACAGACAUGUGCAAAAAGGACAGACCUCUGGGAGGUCCUAGGUCAAGCUAGAGCCACCAUUGGCACAUGUGAGACACAGGAAGUGAGGUAGAGAACAGCCUCUGGAGUUCUCAUGACUUCCUAUGAGGAGGGCGAGAGGCAGUUGGAGGUUGGUGCUUGGAGUUGGAGGAGCCUGCAGACUGCUUUUCUCCAGAUUGGUCACGUGAGUGAUAGGGACUGAUCUCUUUCCUUGCCUUGACUAUCCAGGGCCAAAGCCUGAGCAGAGGGAGUCCAGAUUACCAGCUGCUGAGGUUGUAGUGAAGAAUCCUGAAAGAGCUUGUGCAGUUGGACUGAAUAGCCUGUGGGGUCUCUUCUGGUUCGGUGGUUCUGUGAGAGCUGUGUCCAGGGGACAGGAGAAAAAAGCCACCAUAGUAAUGCUUCAUUGGAGAAUGGAAGUGUCCCUUCAUUCUCAGACACUCUACCAAUAGAAUACAAACUCUGGAAGAUCUCUUCUAAGCUUGAAAUGACUAAGCUCAGGGCAGAGAAUCUGCUCUGAUGUCUCAUCUGUGGCUCAACCUAGGUAAGUCUGCUGAGGAUACCAAGGGAUGAAUAUUUUCGGCCACAGCAACUCACCAGACUUGUCCACUACAACUACAGUCUACCCCAGUGCACUUGGGUGCUCACAAAAUUAGAUUAAGGAUCCAUGAGGUAUUAGGCAAAAUGUCAUUGGCAAAGCUGUAAGUGACAGUAAAAAAGUAUACUAAUACCACAGUAGGAAAAGCAGUCCAUUCAAAGUCAGGAACACCUGGAUUUGAAUCUUGACUGUUAUUUACUAUUUUUGUGAUUUUGGAAAAAUCAGUUUAGGGCUUCUGUUUCCUUGUUUGUAAACAUGAGGGGGUUGGAUGAGACAGCCUCCUUC
rnacentral:lncRNA from 1 species